rnacentral:rRNA from 1 species
UGUUUAGGAAUAGCGCGACCGAAGGUUGAUCUAAGCGCAAGUCCUCCUGACUGGGGCUCUCGCCCAUAGAGGGUGCAAGGCCCAUAGUCGCUUAUGAUCUCCGGCGGAAGCAAAAUUCCUUGGAGUCGGGUUGCUUGAGAGUGCAGCCCUAAGUGGGUGGUAAACUCCAUCUAAGGCUAAAUACGACCACGAAACCGAUAGCGAACAAGUACCGUGAGGGAAAGUUGAAAAGAACUUUGAAGAGAGAGUUCAAGAGUGCGUGAAACCGUUUAGAGGUAAACGGGUGGGCCCUCGAAGGUGAUCGUCGGAGGGAUUCAGUCGGACGUGACCGUAAGCGUCGUUCGUCUCUAACGGUGCGGACCUCGGUCGGCCGGGCGGGCGAAGGCUGCGGGCCGUUUGGCGCAUUUCCUUCCGUUCGAACUACGCUGCGACCAGUCUGGUCACUGAAAGUUGUCGUCCUUGAAAACGGGCGAUGGAAGGUGGCCGGCGGCGUCCCUCGGGAUGCCGUCGGUGUUUAUAGCCGGUUCGUUUCACGAGUGAGCGUUCAUCAGACUGGGGACGAUUCUAGCCCUGUGCGGGCUACGCCGAGCACUCCGUUUACGGAGCGUUGCGGGGUGACUGGAUGUGCCUGCGGUCGGGAGUUUCACCUUUGCGUGGGCUACCGCCGUAGGUCUCCGUAAGCUCAUUCCGUACUCGCCGUGCUCAGGUGGUCAGCAGCGAGUAGUCGNNNNNNNNNNNNNNNCCGUCUUGAAACACGGACCAAGGAGUUUAACAUGUGCGCGAGUCAUUGGGUCUUGAAUAGGCCCAAAGGCGUAAUGAAAGUGAAGGGCGGUUCGGCCGUCUGCCUUGGGAUCCCGUGAACCUCGCGUUCGCGGGCGCACCAAGGGCCCGUCCCGGUCGCCUCGUCGACGGGGCGGAGCAAGAGCGUACACGUUGGGACCCGAAAGAUGGUGAACUAUGCCUGGGCAGGACGAAGCCAGAGGAAACUCUGGUGGAGGUCCGCAGCGAUUCUGACGUGCAAAUCGAUCGUCAGACCUGGGUAGGGGCGAAAGACUAAUCGAACCAUCUAGUAGCUGGUUCCCUCCGAAGUUUCCCUCAGGAUAGCUGGCGCUCGGAGGAUGCAGUCUCAUCCGGUAAAGCGAAUGAUUAGAGGCCUUGGGGUCGAAAAGACCUCAACCUAUUCUCAAACUUUAAAUGGGUGAGAAGUCCGGUUUGCUCGACUGAAGCCCGGACGGCAACUUGGAUGCGAGUGCCAAGUGGGCCACUUUUGGUAAGCAGAACUGGCGCUGUGGGAUGAACCAAACGCCGGGUUAAGGGGCCCGAUGCGAGACGCUCAUGAGAUCCCAUGAAAGGUGUUGGUUGCUAUAGACAGCAGGACGGUGGCCAUGGAAGUCGGAAUCCGCUAAGGAGUGUGUAACAACUCACCUGCCGAAGCAACUAGCCCUGAAAAUGGAUGGCGCUUCAGCGUCGACCCCAUACCCGGCCGCCGCGGCCGAAAAGCCUCGUGUUUUAAGCCGCGGUGAGUAGGAGGGGCGCGGAGGCGAGCGUCGAAGGUGCCGGGCGUAAGCCCGCCUGGAGCCGCCUCCGGCGCAGAUCUUGGUGGUAGUAGCAAAUACUCAAGUGAGAACCUUGAGGACUGAGGUGGAGAAGGGUUCCAUGUGAACAGCAGUUGAACAUGGGUCAGUCGGUCCUAAGGGAUAGGAGAAAUCCGUUCCGAGGCGGGACCUCCAUCAAUUAUUGAAAGUCCCGCUGAUGACCGAAAGGGAAUCGGGUUAAUAUUCCCGAACCCGGACGCGGAGAUCGUCCUCUUCGGAGGUACAUUGCGGUAACGCAAACGAGCUCGGAGACGUCGACGGGAGCACCGGGAAGAGUUAUCUUUUCUUUGUAAGGAUUCGACUCCCUGGAAUCGGCUCGCCCGGAGAUAGGGAUGGUGUUUCCGUAAAGCACCGCGCCUCUUGCGGUGUCCGGAUCGCUCCCGUCGGCCCUUGAAAAUCCGAGUGAGAGAUAGUGAUUUUCGUGCCGGACCGUACCCAUAUCCGCAGCA